rnacentral:rRNA from 1 species
ACAACGACUCUCGGCAACGGAUAUCUCGGCUCACGCAUCGAUGAAGAACGUAGCAAAAUGCGAUACUUGGUGWGAAUYGCAGAAUCCCGUGASCCAUCGAGUUUUUGAACGCAAGUUGCGCCWGAACCYAUCUGGUUGAGGGCACGUCUGCCUGGGCGUCACGC